rnacentral:tRNA from 1 species
AGCUCUGUAGUGUAUAACAUAUGGAAUUGCAAAUUCCAAGAAGCAGACUUACGAUCUGCCGGGGCUU